rnacentral:rRNA from 1 species
GGACCCGCACAAGCGGUGGAGCAUGUGGUUUAAUUCGAUGCAACGCGAAAAACCUUACCUACUCUUGACAUACUUGGAAGCUCUUGUAAUGAGAGUGUGCCUUUUGGAGCCAAGAUACAGGUGCUGCAUGGCUGUCGUCAGCUCGUGUCGUGAGAUGUUCCGUUAAGUCGGAUAACGAGCGCAACCCUUACCCUUAUUUGCCAGCGAUUCGGUCGGGAACUAUAAGGGGACUGCCGGUGAUAAACCGGAGGAAGGUGAGGACGACGUCAAGUCAUCAUGGCCCUUACGAGUAGGGCUACACACGUGCUACAAUGGGGAAUACAGACGGACGCUAAGCCGCGAGGUGGUGCUAAUCCAUAAAACCGAUCUCAGUUCGGAUUGGAGUCUGCAACUCGACUCCAUGAAGUUGGAAUCGCUAGUAAUCGC